ACGCUGGCGGCGUGCUUCAUACAUGCAAGUCGAACGAUAAGGUCUCUUCGGAGAUACAUAAGUGGCGGACGGGUGAGUAAUGUGUAGAGAAUCUGCCCUAGAGAUGGGGAUAACAGUUGGAAACGACUGCUAAUACCCAAUAUGAGCGUAGUUGAAAUACUAUUCUUGAAAACUCCGGUGCUCUGGGAUGAGUCUGCAUCUGAUUAGCUAGUUGGGGGUGUAAUGGACCACCAAGGCGACGAUCAGUAGCUGGUUUGAGAGGACGAUCAGCCACAAUGGGACUGAGACACGGCCCAUACUCCUACGGGAGGCAGCAGUAGGGAAUUUUGCGCAAUGGGGGAAACCCUGACGCAGCCAACGCCGCGUGAAUGAAGAAGCCCUUCGGGGUGUAAAGUUCUGUCAGUAGGGAAGAAUAAAUGACUGUACCUACAGAGGAAGCAUCGGCUAACUCCGUGCCAGCCGCUGC
rnacentral:rRNA from 1 species